rnacentral:rRNA from 1 species
GUGGGGAAUAUUGGACAAUGGGCGAAAGCCUGAUCCAGCAAUGCCGCGUGUGUGAAGAAGGCCUUCGGGUUGUAAAGCACUUUUGUCCGGAAAGAAAUCCUUUGGGUUAAUACCUCGGAGGGAUGACGGUACCGGAAGAAUAAGGACCGGCUAACUACGUGCCAGCAGCCGCGGUAAUACGUAGGGUCCGAGCGUUAAUCGGAAUUACUGGGCGUAAAGCGUGCGCAGGCGGUUUUGUAAGACAGAUGUGAAAUCCCCGGGCUUAACCUGGGAAUUGCAUUUGUGACUGCAAGGCUAGAGUGUGUCAGAGGGGGGUAGAAUUCCACGUGUAGCAGUGAAAUGCGUAGAGAUGUGGAGGAAUACCGAUGGCGAAGGCAGCCCCCUGGGAUAACACUGACGCUCAUGCACGAAAGCGUGGGGAGCAAACAGGAUUAGAUACCCUGGUAGUCC